rnacentral:rRNA from 1 species
AGAGUUUGAUCAUGGCUCAGAUUGAACGCUGGCGGCAUGCUUAAUACAUGCAAGUCGAACGGUAACAGAUUCUUCGGAAUGCUGACGAGUGGCGGACGGGUGAGUAAUACAUAGGAAUCUGCCCAUGUAGUGGGGGACAACUUGGGGAAACUCAAGCUAAUACCGCAUAAUUCCUACGGGAUAAAGAGGGCCACUGCUUGCAAGCUCUUGCUACUGGAUGAGCCUAUGUCGGAUUAGUUAGUUGGUAAGGUAAUGGCUUACCAAGACAGCGAUCCGUAGCUGGUUUGAGAGGAUGAUCAGCCACACUGGGACUGAGACACGGCCCAGACUCCUACGGGAGGCAGCAGUAGGGAGUAUUGGACAAUGGGCGCAAGCCUGAUCCAGCAAUGCCGCGUGUGUGAAGAAGGCCUGCGGGUUGUAAAGCACUUUCAAUUGGGAAGAAAGAUUAUGAGUUAAUACCUUAUAAUAUUGACGUACCAAACAAGAG